ACAACCACACCAACUACAACUACCACUACACCUACUACAACUACGACUACAACCACACCCACAACGACGACAACACCAACUACGACUAAAGCGACAUUCAUUCUAAAACCAAAGAAAACAACUAAACCCAAUGUAAACUGUCGAAAAUUAUGUUUCAGCGAGACAGGAGAAAGCUUUUGUUGCGAUUCAGCUGAUGGAGUCUGUCCUCUGAAACCUUCCGUCUGCUCAGCCGUCAGCACAAGACGUCGCAAGAGAAAAUGCGCGUUCGAUGCCCAGUGUGCUGAGGGCUACAAGUGCUGCUUCGACAACUGCAUCGAGGACUACGUAUGCAGGAGGACUGUCUUCUUGCCGAAGUCGAGCUUGCGUAAGUCGAGGAGGAGGGCGAAGGGGCCGGCGGAGGGUCAGCCUUAAUUCCUUCGGCUGGGCGCGAGAUGGAGGAAAUUCUCGCCCAAGAGCGCGCUGACGAGGGAGGUGAAUGCUGCACGGAAGAGCCACUCUGUCCGCACGAGACAUUCUCUUCGCCAACCUUCCCCCCCGCCAGGGUAGAAAAAGUACACAUGGGAAUAAAAACCCAACGAUAUUCAUACCUUUUUUGUAUAUGUAGUAAUAAGAUCAUUAAUAAUUAGGAUAUUAAGGUACAUUACCAAAGUACUUUUUUAUGUUAUUUCUAUUAAGAACACGAGAGACAAUCUUGAAGAAUUUGAGGAUGAAAAUUGUCAAGUUACAAGCAAUCAUAUUUCUUAGAAAGAGAGACAGAGAAAUAAAGAAUGAUACACCCUCCACCCUCCCCGAAAAGGAGGAGAGGAACAGAGGAAGAGAGAAUAAGAAAGACAAAGAAGAAUGGUAUAGAAAACAGAAAUAGCUAAAGCAGUCUCAUGUAUGGUUCUAUUUAACAGCUUUGUUUAAGAUUUCCAAGUUUGCCCUUUAUAUGUGUCUGUGCUCUGUGUGUGUGUGUGUGUGUGUGUGUGUGUGUGUG